AUUAAAGUUGUUGCAGUUAAAAAGCUCGUAGUUGGACUUGUGUGCGCUGUCCGCGGGUGGCCUGCGCCCAAAAGGGCGUUUCGGUUCGGCCCCGGUGGCGCCUUGAAAUCUGCAGCUGGGGGGACGUUGGCCUUAACUGGUCGGCGACCGCACGCCGGCUGCUCGGUUACUGUGAGAAAAUUAGAGUGUUCAAGGCAGGCAUUGGGUGCAAUUGAAUACAUUAGCAUGGAAUAAUAAAACAUGGCUCCUGCCGUAUUUUGUUGGUUUUGACUGGUGGGAGUAAUGAUUGAUAGGGACGGUUGGGGGUACUAGUAUUGAGCGGCCAGAGGUGAAAUUCAUGGAUUCGCUCAAGACUAACUUAUGCGAAAGCAUUCACCAAGGACGUCCUCUUUAAUCAAGAACGAAAGUUGGGGGAUCGAAGACGAUCAGAUACCGUCGUAGUCUCAACCAUAAACUAUGUCGACUUGGGAUCGGCGGUAGUUUUUUCAUUAAGACACUGUCGGGACCACGGGAGAAAUCAAAGUGUCUGGACUCUGGGGGAAGUAUGGUCGCAAGGCUAAAACUUGAAGGAAUUGACGGAAGGGCACCACCAGGAGUGGAGCCUGCGGCUUAAUUUGACCCAACACGGGGAAACUUACCAGGUCCAGAGAUGUAGAGGAUUGACAGAUUGAAGCUCUUUCUUGAUCACUUCGGUGGUGGUGCGUGGCCGUUCUUAGUUGGUGGAGUGAUUUGUCUGGUUAAUUCCGUUAACGAACGAGACCUCAGCCUGCUAGUGUAGUCGGCUGGAUUGCCUUUGGCGAUCCGUGAUUUCGACUUCUUAGAGGGACAAUCGACGCGCAGUCGAUGGAUGUUUGAGGCAAUAACAGGUCUGUGAUGUCCUUAGAUGUUCUGGGCCGCACGCGCGCUACACUGCUGGGCUCAGCGAGUUUUACUUGGCCGAGAGGCCCGGUUAAUCUUGUGAAAUCCCAGCGUGCUUGGGCUCGCCUCCUGCAACUGGAGGCGCCAACGAGGAAUUCCUAGUAGACGCAGGUCAUCAACCUGCAUCGAUUACGUCCCUGCCCUUUGUACACACCGCCCGUCGUUCCAUAAGAGUGAGGCAUCCGGUGAAUUCUCGGGAGAGCCUGGGCGUGGCCAGCAAUGGUCUGCUCGGGUUUGAACUUGCAUAAACUUGGUGCCUAUGAUUAGGG
rnacentral:rRNA from 1 species